rnacentral:rRNA from 1 species
UACGUAGGGUCCGAGCGUUGUCCGGAAUUAUUGGGCGUAAAGAGCUCGUAGGCGGUCUGUCGCGUCGGCUGUGAAAUCCCGAGGCUCAACCUCGGGUCUGCAGUCGAUACGGGCAAACUAGAGUAUUGCAGGGGAGACUGGAAUUCCUGGUGUAGCGGUGAAAUGCGUAGAGAUCCGGAGGAACACCAGUGGCGAAGGCGGCUGGCUGGACCUGACCUGACGCUGAGGCGCGAAGGCGUGGGGAGCGAACGGG